GACGAACGCUGGCGGCGUGCUUAACACAUGCAAGUCGAACGGUAAGGCCCCUUCGGGGGUACACGAGUGGCGAACGGGUGAGUAACACGUGGGUAAUCUGCCCUGCACUUCGGGAUAAGCCUGGGAAACUGGGUCUAAUACCGGAUAUGAGCUCCUGCCGCAUGGUGGGGGUUGGAAAGUUUUUCGGUGCAGGAUGAGCCCGCGGCCUAUCAGCUUGUUGGUGGGGUAAUGGCCUACCAAGGCGACGACGGGUAGCCGGCCUGAGAGGGUGAUCGGCCACACUGGGACUGAGACACGGCCCAGACUCCUUACGGGAGGCAGCAGUGGGGAAUAUUGCACAAUGGGCGAAAGCCUGAUGCAGCGACGCCGCGUGGGGGAGUGACGGUCUUCGGAUUGUAAACCCCUUUCCUAGUAGGGACGAAGCGCAAGUGACGGUACCUGCAGAAGAAGCACCGGCCAACUACGUG
rnacentral:rRNA from 1 species